rnacentral:rRNA from 1 species
AAUAUUGCACAAUGGGGGAAACCCUGAUGCCGCGACGCCGCGUGAGUGAAGAAUUAUUUCGGUAUGUAAAGCUCUAUCAGCAGGGAAGAAAAUAACGGUACCUGACUACGAAGCCACGGCUAACUACGUGCUAGCAGCCGCGGUAAUACGUAGGGGGCAAGCGUUAGCCGGAUUUACUGGGUGUAAAGGUAGCGUAGGUGGCGAGUCAAGUCAGAUGUGAAAGCCCGGGGCUCAACCCCGGGAUUGCAUUUGAAACUGGUUUGCUAGAGUGCAGGAGAGGUAAGUGGAACUCCUAGUGUAGCGGUGAAAUGCGUAGAUAUUAGGAGGAACACCAGUGGCGAAGGCGGCUUACUGGACUGUAACUGACACUGAGGCUCGAAAGCGUGGGGAGCAAACA